rnacentral:lncRNA from 1 species
CCUCCAAUAUUGGGAAUCACAUUUCAACAUGAGAUUUGGAAGGGACAAACACCUAAACCAUAGUACUCCCAGAGAGCAAAGCCAGUGCCUCAGAGGACUGUAGACUUAGGAGUUAUUUCCAGGGGGCCAGGGAGUUAUUAAUAUACAAGAGGCAGCUGGACAAACCAUGACAAUUUUCCACUGUCAGAGCAGGGAGUAUUUCCAAUUCAUGCCUAUCAGGAUUCAAUCAUUUCUAUGAAAGUGAUUGCUGUGUUUUCCAUUUCUCCUUUUUUCCAGUGGGGGCUUGAUGGAAGUUACGUUGUUCUUGCUCCACUAUUGGCUAUUGGGCAUCUUAAAGUCAUGGUUCACUAGACUAUAAAGAGCCACAUUUGGACACAGUCAAAAGGGCUGAGCUACACUCAAAGAUCCUGGACUUUUACGUUGGAUAUAGGUGGUUGCCUCCCUUGGGAAGGGACAUAGACAUAUGUUCUAUGUCUGGGAAGGGUGGGAAUAUGCUAGCCAGAGGGGCAGACUGUGGUGGCAAUUGUCAUUCCCCACCAAAUCUUCUUCGUCCACAGUUAUAUGUAGUUAGAAUGUAGUUAUCCAGGUGGGGACUGUAUUUACCAGCUUUUCGUGCACCCAGACAUGCCUUUUGUGGAAGUUCUCAUCAAUGGAAUGUGAACAGAAAGGAUGCAACUUCUGCCCCACUUGUUAAGAUGAAAUAUUUGCCCCUCAACUGCUUUGACCCUUCCUGCUAACUUGGAUGGCAACAACUAGAGCAGCCUUGGCAGCCCUAUGUUGAGGACAGAAAGCUGGUCACCAACAGGUACUCUUAUGUGAGUUAGGGCUGAGCUUCUAUCAUGUUUGAGCCAUUGCAUUUUUGGGUCUUUCUGUUAAAGUAGCUUACUGUCCCCUACUAUACCUUGGAGCAGUUACUUUAGAAAGCUUGGAAUUAUAAACCCUUCCUCUGCUACUUGAAGAUGUAAAUCUUUUACUGCACCAAUCAGCACUGUGUAAAAAUAUACCAGUCAACACUCUGUGUCUAGCUAAAAGAUUGUAAAUGCACCAAUCAGCACUCUGUAAAAUGGACCAAUCAGUGCUCUGUAAAAUGGACCAAUCAGCACUCUGUAAAAUGGAACAAUCAGCAGGACGUGGGCAGGGACAAAUAAGUGAAUAAAAGCUGGCCACCCCCAGCCAGCAGUGGCAACGUGCUCAGGUCCCCUUCUACACUGUGGAAGCUUUGUUCUUUUGCUCUUCACAAUAAAUCUUGCUGCUGCUCACUCUUUGGGUCCGUGCCACCUUUAAGAGCUGUAACUCCACAAAGGUCCGUGGCUUCAUUCUUGAAGUCAGCAAGACCAAGAACUCACUGGAAGGAACCAACUCUGGACAAAUCUUGGCAACCACGAAGGGACUAUUGCCAAGCUGCCAAGCAGAUUGAGGCCAUCAAGCUACAGAUGGUCUUACAAAUGGAACCCCAAUGAGCUCAACUAACAACUUCUACUGAGGACCCCUGCACCAACCCGCUGGCCCUUUGACUGGCAUAAAGAGUUCCCCUCUGGAGGACACUACAACUGCAGGGCUCCUUCUUCAACCCAUCCAGCAGGAAGUAGCUACAGAGGUCAUUGCCCAAUUCCCAACAGCUCUUGGGGUGUCCUCUUUAGAGGGGGGAUUGAGAGGUGAAGCCAGCUAGACUUCCUGGGUUGAGUAGGGACUUGGAGAACUUUUCUGUCUAGCUAGAGGAUUGUAAAUGCACCAAUCAGUGCUCUGUGUCUAGCUGAAGGACUGUAAAUGCACCAAUCAGCACUCUGUAAAAACACACCAAUCAGUGCUCUGUGUCUAGCUAGAAGAUUGUAAAUGCACCAAUCAGCACUCUGUAAAAAUGCACCAAUCAACACUCUGUGUCUAGCUAAAGGAUUGUAAAUGCACCAAUCAGCAUUCUUUACAAUGGACCAAUCAGCGCUCUGUAAAAUGGACCAAGCAGCAGGAUGAGGGCAGUGACAAAUAAAUAAAUAAAAGCUGGCCACCCGAGCCAGCAGCAGCAACCCAGUCAGGUCCCCUUCCACGCUACGGAAGCUUUGUUCUUUCGCUCUUCACAAUAAAUCUUGCUGCUGCUCACUCUGGGUCUGUGCCACCUUGAAGAGCUGUAACACUCACCACAAAGGUCCGCGGCUUCAUUCUUGAAGUCAGUGAGGCCAAGAACCCACCGGAAGGAACCAACUCCGGACACAUGACCACUGAGAACUGUCUUCUCAAGGACCUGGGGGUUUGUCUCUUGAAUUGCAAGCCUUCAAGGAGGUGGUUCUCAUUCUCAUUCCCAGUCCCUGUGGCUACCUUGCUCUCUUACACCACUGCUUGUCAUGAAGACAGAAAAAUUAUGUCUCCUCUGGAUAAGCAUGGAUUAACACACCCAGAUGGCCUAGUUGCAGGACGAACCAACCCUUCACACUCCUCAGCACCUUUCCCUUAGCACACCACAGCCUCUAAAAAGCCUCCAAAUUUUUGUUUCAGCAAAGUUGUGUUCAGUUCAUGCUGGACCCAAUUCCCUAGCAAUAGUUUUCAUUAAAUAAAAUCUAAUUUACUGCUUUAACGAGUGUCCCACUUAAAAAAUUUUUCUUGACAGUAAGCACAUGAAAUCGUUAUUGAAUUAAUAAACUUAG